GAAGAAGCCACAUGUCUGCCUGUGUCACUAAUUUCUAUUUUUCUCAGGCACAAGUCUGUCAUCAGGCUCUCUUAUCCUGAGACCUGUAACAGAUCUUCGGGGGCUGGUCCGGGAUCAGCAGUACUACGGGGGUCCGACAACUGCUGAUCCAGUAAUCCAUGAACCGUGGACCAGAGUGAUGACACGUUGCUGGAGCGAGGGGCACUGCGAGUGAGCGACUGCCAGGGUGAGAGAACCAGUCUAGUGGAAUCCAAGCCGAGAGAGUGCAACUCGACAGUCCCAACAACGUGCGGCAUGUUUGACAACGAGAGAAAGAGUUUUGUUUGGACAAUAAAGAAAGGACUACACAGCCUGACAACCGAAGAGAUCUUCCAG
ensembl:lncRNA